UACGUAGGGGGCGAGCGUUGUCCGAAUUUACUGGGCGUAAAGGGCGCGUAGGCGGCCGAUCAAGUCAGGCGUGAAAUUCCCGGGCUCAACCUGGGGGCUGCGCUUGAUACUGAUUGGCUUGAAUGCGGGAGAGGAUAGUGGAAUUCCCAGUGUAGAGGUGAAAUUCGUAGAUAUUGGGAAGAACACCGGUGGCGAAGGCGGCUAUCUGGCCCGUAAUUGACGCUGAGGCGCGAAAGCGUGGGGAGCAAACAGG
rnacentral:rRNA from 1 species